rnacentral:rRNA from 1 species
AAAGAAUUUGGUUCUAGUUUUUAUAAUUGAGAUAAUACAGAAUUAUACAUGUAAGCUAAUAAGCGUUCCGGUGAGGACCCGAGAGAGUUAAAGAAAUUAUUAAAUAUAUUUUUUUUUAUGAAUCGGAUGUAUUACUAUUUUUUAAAAAGUUAUAUAGCCAUUAAAUAGGCGUCACAUCUUCAGUAACUAAUAUUUAACCCUGUCUGAGAGGACGAUUAAAUCAAAUAUUGUUGAGACUGGCGAAGAUACCGUGCCAGCAGCCGCGGUUAAACGGACAGUUUUCUUAAUAUAGUAAGUAGCUUAAUACAGAAAUCCUUGAUAGAAAGAUAAAAAGGUUUAAAGAUUUAAUGUGGAAAUUAAUUUUAAUCUGAAUUUCUUAAAUAUAGGAGAAACUGUUAAGGUUAGGAGGAAAACCUGGUUUUGAUACCCAGUUAUCCCUAAGAUAAAAAGUUAAUGCUGGUGGAGUAUAAAGGAAAUCUUUGAGAAACAAAGAACUUGGCGGUGAUUUAAUUCUGAUCAGGGGAGCCUGUCUGAAGAAAAUGAUGAUCCACAAUACACCUUACCUUUUUUUGAAUUUCAGCCUCUAUAUCAUCGUCAUAAGUUUUCACUGUAAAUUUGAAGACUGAAAAACAUAAAUUUGUUAGAUGUCAGAUCGAGAUGGAGCUAAUGAAAAGGAGAGGAUGGGCUACAAUAAUUAUAAUUAAUACCUAAUUAGGUAGAAAUGAAUUUUCUUAUGAAAUAUAAAAAUAAAAGAGGACUUGAUAGUAAUAAAAAAAAGAAAGGUUUUAUGAAAUUAGCUCUAAAUUGCGUACACAUCGCCCGUCACCUGCGGGGAAAACCUGGAGUAAGUCGUAACAAAGUAGGCGUACCGGAAGGUGCGGCCUGGCCAAUU